CUCUCCGUAGUUUAGCGUGGUUUAGAGCGUCAGACUGUAAUUAACUUUAAGAUAAGUUGCAAAUCUGAAAGUCGGGCGUUCGACUCGCCCCGGGGAGA
rnacentral:tRNA from 3 species